rnacentral:misc_RNA from 1 species
GAUGAAGAACGUAGCGAAAUGCGAUAAGUAAUGUGAAUUGCAGAAUCCAGUGAAUCAUCGAAUCUUUGAACGCACAUUGCGCCCGCCAGCAUUCUGGCGGGCAUGCCUGUUCGAGCGUCAUUUCAACCCUCGACCUCCCCUUGGGGAGGUCGGCGUUGGGGACCGGCAGCACACCGCCGGCCCUGAAAUGGAGUGGCGGCCCGUCCGCGGCGACCUCUGCGCAGUAAUACAGCUCGCACCGGGACCCCGACGCGGCCACGCCGUAAAACACCCAACUUCUGAACGUUGACCUCGAAUCAGGUAGGACUACCCGCUGAACUUAAGCAUAUCAAUAAGCGAGGA